GAUGAACGCUGGCGGCGUGCUUAACACAUGCAAGUCGAACGGAGUGGCGAACGGGUGAGAAACACGUGGGAGAUCUGCCUUGCACUCAGGGAUAAGAUUGGGAAAAUGGGUCUAAUACCGGAUAGUGCAAGAUGAGCUCGCGGCCUAUCAGCUUGUUGGUGGGGUAAUGGCCUCACAAGGCGUCGACGGGUAGCAGGCCUGAGAGGGUGUACGGCCACAUUGGGACUGAGAUACGGCGCAGACUCCUACGGGAGGCAGCAGUGGGGAAUAUUGCACAAUGGGCGGAAGCCUGAUGUAGCGACGCCGCGUGGGGGAUGACGGCCUUCGGGUUGUAAACUCCUUUCGACAGGGACGCGGUACCUGUAUAAGAAGCACCGGCUAACUACGUGCCAGCCGCCGCGGUAAUUC
rnacentral:rRNA from 1 species